rnacentral:rRNA from 1 species
AGCGAACGCUGGCGGCAGGCUUAACACAUGCAAGUCGAGCGGGCACUUUCGGGUGUCAGCGGCGGACGGGUGAGUAACGCGUGGGAACGUGCCCUCUGGUUCGGAAUCACUCAGGGAAACUUGAGCUAAUACCGGAUACGCCCUUUUGGGGAAAGGCUUGCUGCCGGAGGAUCGGCCCGCGUCUGAUUAGCUAGUUGGUGAGGUAACGGCUCACCAAGGCGACGAUCAGUAGCUGGUCUGAGAGGAUGAUCAGCCACACUGGGACUGAGACACGGCCCAGACUCCUACGGGAGGCAGCAGUGGGGAAUAGUGGACAAUGGGCGCAAGCCUGAUCCAGCCAUGACGCGUGAGUGAUGAAGGCAUUAGGGUUGUAAAGCUCUUUUAUCCGGGACGAUAAUGACGGUACCGGAGGAAUAAGCCCCGGCUAACUUCGUG